rnacentral:lncRNA from 1 species
UUUCAGUCCCCCCAUUUCCCAUUUCUUUGUAAUUUAACCCCAAAGAAGUCUCGGAACUUCAUAUUUGCCCCCCAAAGCUAUUGUAAUUCCUUCAAUUGGAUCCCUGUUUUUGUUGCAUAUGAACCCCUCGAGUUCCCCCCUGUUCUGAUGUGACCCCAAAAAUUGGAAAAGCUGAACUAAUUUCAUUCUUUUGAGCUUAGUCCUCUGUUUGCAUAUUUUAUAUGGUUUUCUGGACAGAUUAAUUCUGGAAUUUAGACCAUAAUUGUGGUUUAAUAUUUUUGUUGA